GCGUCGGUAUGUGCAGCGGUUCAGCGCGCGCCGCUCUCGUAAGGAGGGAAGUCUGGGUUCAAAUUCCAACUGACGCA